rnacentral:rRNA from 1 species
UGAAGGAGGAGCUUGCUUCUCCGGAUGAGUUGCGAACGGGUGAGUAACGCGUAGGUAACCUGCCUGGUAGCGGGGGAUAACUAUUGGAAACGAUAGCUAAUACCGCAUAAGAGUAGAUGUUGCAUGACAUUUGCUUAAAAGGUGCAAUUGCAUCACUACCAGAUGGACCUGCGUUGUAUUAGCUAGUUGGUGGGGUAACGGCUCACCAAGGCGACGAUACAUAGCCGACCCGAGAGGGUGAUCGGCCACACUGGGACUGAGACACGGCCCAGACUCCUACGGGAGGCAGCAGUAGGGAAUCUUCGGCAAUGGACGGAAGUCUGACCGAGCAACGCCGCGUGAGUGAAGAAGGUUUUCGGAUCGUAAAGCUCUGUUGUACGAGAAGAACGAGUGUGAGAGUGGAAAGUUCACGCUGUGACGGUAUCUUACCAGAAAGGGACGGCUAACUACGUGCCAGCAGCCGCGGUAAUACGUAGGUCCCGAGCGUUGUCCGGAUUUAUUGGGCGUAAAGCGAGCGCAGGCGGUUAGAUAAGUCUGAAGUUAAAGGCUGUGGCUUAACCAUAGUACGCUUUGGAAACUGUUUAACUUGAGUGCAAGAGGGGAGAGUGGAAUUCCAUGUGUAGCGGUGAAAUGCGUAGAUAUAUGGAGG